rnacentral:rRNA from 1 species
GAUGAACGCUGGCGGCGUGCCUAAUACAUGCAAGUCGAGCGAAUGGAUUAAGAGCUUGCUCUUAUGAAGUUAGCGGCGGACGGGUGAGUAACACGUGGGUAACCUGCCCAUAAGACUGGGAUAACUCCGGGAAACCGGGGCUAAUACCGGAUAACAUUUUGAACCGCAUGGUUCGAAAUUGAUAGGCGGCUUCGGCUGUCACUUAUGGAUGGACCCGCGUCGCAUUAGCUAGUUGGUGACGUAACGGCUCACCAAGGCAACGAUGCGUAGCCGACCUGGGAGGGUGAUCGGCCACACUGGGACUGAGACACGGCCCAGACUCCUACGGGAGGCAGCAAUAGGGAAUCUUCCGCAAUGGACGAAAGUCUGACGGAGCAACGCCGCGUGAGUGAUGAAGGCUUUCGGGUCGUAAAACUCUGUUGUUAGGGAAGAACAAGUGCUAGUUGAAUAAGCUGGCACCUUGACGGUACCUAACCAGAAAGCCACGGCUAACUACGUGCCAGCCGCCGCAGUAA